AUAUCAGUAAGCGGAGGAAAAGAAACCAACAGGGAUUCCCAUAGUAACUGCGAGUGAAGUGGGAGAAGCCCAGCGCCAAGGUUCUCGGCCCUGUGGUCGACGAACGAUGCGGCGUUUGGCACGUACAUUGUGCGUCGGACGGAGUGACAAAGUUCCCUUGACUGGGCUCGUGCCCCGAAGCGGUG
rnacentral:rRNA from 1 species